GAUGAACGCUGGCGGCGUGCCUAAUACAUGCAAGUCGAACGGUCCGCAAGGAUAGUGGCGAACGGGUGAGUAACGCGUUGGUGACCUGCCCUGAAGAGGGGGAUAACGGAUCGAAAGAUCCGCUAAUACCGCAUAAGCUCUCACUAGUUAGAGAGGUGAGAGGAAAGCCGAAAGGCGCUUUAGGAGGGACCUGCGUCCCAUCAGCUAGUUGGUAAGGUAGUGGCUUACCAAGGCGAUGACGGGUAGGGGACCUGAGAGGGUGGCCCCCCACAAUGGAACUGAAACACGGUCCAUACACCUACGGGUGGCAGCAGUAGGGAAUAUUGGUUAAUGGGCGAAAGCCUGACCCAGCAACGCCGCGUGAACGAUGAAGGCCUUCGGUUGUAAGUUACUUUUACUAGGGAGUGAGGAAGGACGAGUACCUGUAGAAUAAAGUACUCGGCGUAACUACGUG
rnacentral:rRNA from 1 species